rnacentral:rRNA from 1 species
UACAGAGGGUGCAAGCGUUGUUCGGAAUUAUUGGGCGUAAAGCGCGUGUAGGCGGCUUUGCAAGUCGGGUGUGAAAUCCCUCAGCUUAACUGAGGAAGUGCGCCCGAAACUGCAGAGCUUGAGUACCGGAGAGGGUGGCGGAAUUCCCCAAGUAGAGGUGAAAUUCGUAGAUAUGGGGAGGAACACCAGUGGCGAAGGCGGCGAUCUGGGAAGAUACUGACGCUGAGGUGCGAAAGCGUGGGGAGCAAACAGG